AGCAUUAACUUUGCUGGUUGUUUUGGUGAUUUUCUUCACAAGGAAGCUUUGGAACUUCAAGGAAAGAUAAAAUGGUAGAUGGUUCUCCACUUUAUACUUCAUGAGAGAUUGCAAGAUGCAAGAUCAUCUCAGAUGUACAGCUGCAUUGUUUUCUCUGCCAUUUUCUGCUUUCAUUUGAGCCAAUUGGGAGAAGACAAAAAAUUGUUCAGCUGACUAGAAAGCAUGUCUUUGGACUUUGGAGCCAUCAAUUUUGUCUCAAAUGAAAGACCCAAAAAGCUUUAGAGAUUGUUACUGUGGCCUUUUAGCUCCUUACGGGAUUAUGCCUGCUAAAUUUUGAGUUCAAGCUGUAAAGACUGAAGAGAGCAGAGAAAGUUUACAUCACCAACUCAAACUUCGAGCUUCGUGUUGUUGCUUGUGCAAUUUGAGCUUUAAGCUCCCAAUUUGAAAAAGUACUUCAAUUAAAGAUCGACCAAAUGGAGAAUUGAACUUGCUUUGCAAAUGGAACCAUUAGAAAAUGGAACUGGACUUAUCCAUAGUGGCACUUGUUACAGUUGUUCUAUAUCUUGUUAGAUGUGAGAAGGAUGUGAAAUAAUUUCAAUUUUUUUCUUCUUCACAGUUUCAGGAUAAUCUUGAUUGUGGAAUUCUAAUGUGUAUGUUGUUAAACUUUGUUACUUCCUGCAUAUUGGUAUGAGUUGUAAAUUACAUAUUGCAGUAGAUUUCUUUUGUGCUACAUUGAGAAUGAACUCCGUUUCACAGACUGUAAGAAAGAACAAGGAAAUGAAAUGAAAUGAGACCGCGAAACACUUUGUUUUUGAGUCCUCUAGAAACUGCCCCCAACAGCUAAAAUUGAUCCUAAGUAAGGUAAUUAGACUUUAGUUUGUGUGAGACCGAGGGUCCAAUAGGCCAUUCAUGUUUAAAGUGACAAUGGAACAGGCCAGGGUAAUUGAACUUCGGCCUGUGACAAUUGUGAGACCUGAGGCCCAACAAAUUCAGGUAUGUUUAGCAAGUGACAACUGAACCUGACCAGUUUCCCUUCUUCAUGGACACUCCAGAGAAGGAAACAGUGAAACAAGAUUGGUGGCCUGCUUCACAGAUUCGGUUAGGAACAAGAACAAAGGAAACAGAGAUCAAUAGACUCAAUGGCCUAAUAUCCUCAUGUCAUGGCAUGCGGUAUCCUCGAAUUGAUUUUUUUUUUUUUUUCACUUGAAGAAAUGACUGUCAUCUUCAGAAGGGCCAGAUUAUUUAUCAUCAGAGGUAAUUCUGAAAUUGAGAAACCUCAACCCUUAUCUGCUUCUCAUCCUUUUUUUUUUCUUUGUUAAAUAUUAAAUCAAUCAAACCAUUGUUGAAAUUUUAAUAUAUAAGUCAGUUCUGAUGUUUUGGCCCAAAGUAAUGUUUUGUGCUACAACUUCCAGGACUGAAUUAAAUUUCAAGAAUCAAGAAAAACCUUUUGGCACUAUCUCAUAUCAUAUCUGUAAUUCCCUUUCCUUUGUUGGACCUUGGUUUUGACUCAUUAGAAGUUGAAUACAUUUCAAGAUCAUCAACGUCAUGCAAAUGAAACAGAAAUUUUAAAAAGAAGAACAACUGUAAGAUGAUAUUUGCUUUCUGAGGGAGAUUUAUUUAUGAAACUAAAGAUAGAAAAAGAAAAAAUGACUUCAUCUAAGGGGAUUUCGAUGAACUUACUCUUUGUUAGGAGAUUGCAAGAUGCGAGUUACAUCUGCAGUACUUUUUCAUCAAACAAAACAAGGAUUUGUCCCUUCUGGAAGAUUAGAAGCUCUUGUUAUUAUACCGCCAAGGCCUUUUCUUAGACCAAUGAUAACUAGUAAUAAGUUUGAUUUAACAGCUCUAGCUUUGAAAUCAGGAUAUCUAUGGUGAUUUCUUUCAAGAAGGUUGCACCAACUUGUUUUUGGAACCUCAGGAUGAGAAAAUGUUGGAAGGCAGUCCUCUACUAUAAAACAUUUUGAGGUAUUAUAUGUCACUAGAGUCCUAAAUUUAUAUGUUUAUAGGACCGCUAGUGGAUCUAUUUUACGUUUCUGUUAUUUAGAAUGAGUCUGAUGAUCUUAACAUUUGCUUAAGAAAAAGCAAGAUAAUUUUGGGUGCACAGAUGAUAUCCUCUGGAGUUUUCUGCAUUCAUUAGACGUAGCUAGCAAAACCAAAAAUGUACUCUGUUUUCCUAAAAUAUUUGGGCUUUAAUUGUUUCUAAACCCAAAUUAUAGGAAUUACUUGGACCAGUUCCUGAUGCUGGACAUUUACGGGGAUCAGAUCAAUAAUCAGAAGCGCUGUUUCUUUUGCUUUCAUCAGUACUCCAAAUCACAGCUUGUGCUCUUUGCCAUCAUGAAGUCUUGGAGAUUGUGGCCGGUAAUUAGCUCUGGACUGUGUCUGGUAAUAAAAUUUCGAGUUCAAUCAGUAAUAGCAAAUACAUUUGUGAUAUUUUUGCUUGUACAAUUGGAGCUUUGAGUUGAAACAGAAGGAGGAGCAACUGUCCUUGCUUUGCAAUCGGAGCCAUUAGAAGAUGGAACAGAACUU
rnacentral:misc_RNA from 1 species